UUAGUACUCCCUCCGAUCCAUAUUACUUGUCUUAGAUUUGUCUACAUACAGAUGUAUCUAGACACAUUUUAGUGUUAGAUACAUCCGUAUCUAGACAAAUCUAAGGCAAGUAAUAUGGAUGGGAGGGAGUACUAU
rfam:Hordeum vulgare subsp. vulgare, WGS project CAJW01000000 data, contig: morex_contig_42963